AACCCACGGUGAGGGACCCUUCUUAAUAAAUCCUUAUACCUCUCCCAUGCAUCAUAUAGGGUCCCUAAAUCCAUUUGCAAGAAGGAAGAGAUAUCAUUCCUUAACUU
rfam:Gossypium hirsutum cultivar TM-1 chromosome 11, whole genome shotgun sequence